rnacentral:rRNA from 1 species
UGAAUACGAGAUGCUACGGCGUCGAAGCAGUCUAUGUCAUACUUCCAAGAAAAGCUUGCACUGUCAUAAACAAAUAAUGCCUGUACCAUAACCGACACAGGUGGGUAGGUAGAGUAUACUAAGGGGCGCGAGAUAACUCUUUCUAAGGAACUCGGCAAAAUGACUCCGUAACUUCGGGAGAAGGAGUGCCUUAUUUAUAAGGUUGCAAUAACAAGAUCCAAGCAACUGUUUACCAAAAACACAGGUCUCCGCUAAGUCGUAAGACGAUGUAUGGGGGCUGACGCCUGCCCAGUGCCAGAAGGUUAAAGAAGUUGGUUAGCAUCCGCGAAGCUGAUAACUGAAGCCCUGGUGAACGGCGGCCGUAACUAUAACGGUCCUAAGGUAGCGAAAUUCCUUGUCGGGUAAGUUCCGACCCGCACGAAAGGCGUAAUGAUUUGGAUACUGUCUCGGAGAGGGGCUCGGUGAAAUAGACUUGUCUGUGAAGAUGCGGACUACCUGCACCAGGACAGAAAGACCCUAUGAAGCUUUACUGUAACCUGAAAUUGAAAUUGGACUUUACUUGCGCAGUAUAGGUGGGAGGCGUUGAGAAUAUUCUUGCGGGAUUAUUGGAGCCAUCAGUGAGAUACCACUCUUGUAAUGUUAGAUUUCUAACUUUGUAUCAUUAUCUGGUCAAAGAACAGUUUCAGGCGGGCAGUUUGACUGGGGCGGUCGCCUCCUAAACGGUAACGGAGGCGCACAAAGGUUUCCUCUGAACGGGUAGAAAUCGUAUCUAGAGUGUAAAGGCAUAAGGAAGCUUGACUGUGAGACCUACAAGUCGAGCAGGGACGAAAGUCGGUCUUAGUGAUCUGACGGUGCUGAGUGGAAAGGCCGUCACUCAACGGAUAAAAGUUACUCUAAGGAUAACAGGCUGAUCUCCCCCAAGAGUUCACAUCGACGGGGAGGUUUGGCACCUCGAUGUCGGCUCAUCGCAUCCUGGGGCGGUAGUACGUCCCAAGGGUUGGGCUGUUCGCCCAUGAAAGCGGUACGCGAGCUGGGUUCAGAACGUCGUGAGACAGUUCGGUCCAUAUCCGGUGUAGGCGUUAGAAUAUUGAGAGGAGCCUUCUUUAGUACGAGAGGACCGAGAAGGACAUACCUCUGGUGUACCAGUUAUCGUGCCAACGGUAAACGCUGGGUAGCUAUGUGUGGAGUGGAUAACCGCUGAAAGCAUCUAAGUGGGAAGCCCACCUCAAGAUAAGUAUUCUCAU